rnacentral:rRNA from 1 species
CCUGGCUCAGAUUGAACGCUGGCGGCAGGCCUAACACAUGCAAGUCGAACGGCAGCGGGGGGUAGCUUGCUACCCCGCCGGCGAGUGGCGGACGGGUGAGUAAUGCCUGGGAGCUGCCCAAUCGAGGGGUAAUACCGGUUGGAAACGACUGCUAAUACCGCAUACGCCCUGAGGGGGAAAGUGGGGAUCUUCGGACCUACCGCGAUUGGAUGCACCCAGGUGGGAUUAGCUAGUUGGUGAGGUAACGGCUCACCAAGGCGACGAUCUCUAGCUGGUCUGAGAGGACGACCAGCCACACUGGAACUGAGACACGGUCCAGACUCCUACGGGAGGCAGCAGUGGGGAAUUUUGGACAAUGGGCGAAAGCCUGAUCCAGCCAUUCCGCGUGCAGGAUGAAGGCCCUCGGGUUGUAAACUGCUUUUGUACAGAACGAAAAGGUCUCUACUAAUACUAGGGGCUCAUGACGGUACUGUAAGAAUAAGCACCGGCUAACUACGUG